UACGGGGGGGGCAAGCGUUGUUCGGAAUUACUGGGCGUAAAGGGUUCGUAGGUGGCUUGUUAAGUCAGACGUGAAAUCCCUCGGCUCAACCGGGGAACUGCGUCUGAGACUGAUGAGCUCGAGUGCAGGAGAGGAACGCGGAAUUCCAGGUGUAGCGGUGAAAUGCGUAGAUAUCUGGAGGAACACCGGUGGCGAAGGCGGGUCUCUGGGCCGAUACUGACGCUGAGACGCGAAAGCGUGGGGAGCAAACAGG
rnacentral:rRNA from 1 species